rnacentral:rRNA from 1 species
AACGAACGCUGGCGGCAUGCCUAACACAUGCAAGUCGAACGAGAAAGGGGCUUCGGCUCCGAGUAGAGUGGCGCACGGGUGAGUAACACGUGGGUAACCUGCCUCUAAGAUUGGGAUAACUCGUCGAAAGAUGAGCUAAUACCGGAUAAGACCACAGUUCCUGCGGGAACAGGGGUCAAAGGUAGCCUCUGCUUGCAAGCUAUCACUUCGAGAUGGGCCUGCGCACCAUUAGCUAGUUGGUAGGGUAACGGCCUACCAAGGCAAAGAUGGUUAGCUGGUCUGAGAGGAUGAUCAGCCACACUGGAACUGAGACACGGUCCAGACUCCUACGGGAGGCAGCAGUGGGGAAUAUUGCGCAAUGGGCGAAAGCUUGACGCAGCAACGCCGCGUGAGUGAUGAAGGCCUUCGGGUCGUAAAGCUCUGUCGGGAGGAACGAAUGCUCCUGAGGUUAACAGCCUCGGGAGGUGACGGUACCUCCAAAGGAAGCACCGGCUAACUCUGUGCCAGCCGCCGCGGUAA